rnacentral:rRNA from 1 species
UACGUAGGGUGCAGGCGUUAAUCGGAAUUACUGGGCGUAAAGCGUGCGCAGGCGGUUUGUUAAGACAGAUGUGAAAUCCCCGGGCUUAACCUGGGAACUGCGUUUGUAACUGGCAAGCUAGAGUGUGGCAGAGGGGGGUGGAAUUCCAAGUGUAGCAGUGAAAUGCGUAGAUAUUUGGAGGAACACCGAUGGCGAAGGCAGCCCCCUGGGCCAACACUGACGCUCAGGCACGAAAGCGUGGGAGCAAACAGGAUUAGAUACCCUGGUAGUCCACGCCCUAAACGAUGUCAACUGGUUGUCGGGGAAGCAAUUCCUUGGUAACGAAGCUAACGCGUGAAGUUGACCGCCUGGGGAGUACGGCCGCAAGGUUAAA